CCGGGCUGCUGACUGCGGCGUGAAAGGGCAUCUGCGGUGGGUCGCACCCUGGGAGGUUCCGUGUCAGGCUCAGGUGGUGACCAGCGUGACAGCGCCAGCCGGGACGCCCCGCGGUUGCUAGUUACCAGUGAUGUAACUUCCUGGUGAUGUAAUGGCCACACCUACCGGAAACCCCGCUGGACGCCGGCUCCCGCAGUCCUACGGCGUGACACGAGUCCCUCUGACACAUAUAAGAAUACAGGUAACCAAUGGAGGGACUGACAGAGUGGAUCAGCAGACAAUGAACAUCUAGCGAGGAAGAGUAACCUCCUAGCUACAUUCAGAAUGGAUAGUACUGGUGAGAGUCUCUUUUUUGUAUCACACAAAAGCUACUGGAUGAAUUUGGAUCACGUUUUCACUAUUGUAUUGAAAGAAACUGAUGUAUGUAUGUGACAUUAGGGAGAGGAAAAAUAAAGGAAAAACCAAACGCUUGACACCUGGCGCAUACCUUUGUGGAACUUCACUCCGUGCACGUUAUGCAACGGAACCCAACUUAAAGUGACUGCUCUGCAGAGGAACCUAAGUGAGAGCUGCCGCUACACCCUGCAAUGUACGGGACAGAGCAGAGCUGCUGCACAUGCCCAGUGGUAGCAGCUUCUUCUACCAAGUUUGCUGUGUGUGUGGGUCUGACUCCUCAAUCAGUGCACUGGACCAGAGAGUAGCUGCAAGGAAGAAGAGACAGGAGCCUUCCCAUGAGGCAUUUUCACUUCUGAAAAAGGACUUAACAUUGCAUUGAUAAUAGAUAUAUAAGAAAUCCCAAAAUGGCCACCGCCGACAAUGAGCGAUCUAACAAAGGAAGAAGUUAGAGGCAAGGACGCCUCACUUCCGGGAGCAUAUGUGAAGCCGUGGACCCGCCGUAUCCGGGUGUAAUCAGAGAGUGGAGAUGCGAGUGACGUAUUUCCGUCCGUGACGUCACCGAAGACGCACUUCCGGUCGCGGCCGCGACGACGACUUCCGGCCAACGGAAAAAGAUGUAAAGAAGCGAUAGGCUGUUUGUGAAGGGCGGGAAAUGUGAUCCAUGCAAAAACGAGGACUGGAGUUUGAUUGGGAUUGUUGAGCAAUGUUAGGAAUAGAAAUGUUAGAUGACAGUUGGUCCAUGUCUGGAAAUAGGCUGGUCUUGUAGUUUAAGUGGGUAGGGUAUAAAUAGAUUAAUAGUUCAUAUCCUCCAUAUGCCUUGAUGAAGACACUGUGUGUGUCGAAACGCGUCGGCUGGAGGAUUCAUUUGUGGUGGGGAAGACGUUUGGGACAUCACCCGGAGAGUGGGACAGCUGGUCUGGGGACGCCCAAGUAAACCAUCUUGUAACUUGCUGUUUUGUCUACCGUUAUCUGUAGACCACUUCAAAGGGUGAGAGACCAUCCAUUCCCCGCUUUUGCUGCUAAUUGUUAUAUGUUCAUGCUGUGAUUAAAAAGUGUUACACUA